rnacentral:lncRNA from 10 species
GCGGCCUCUGCCCGCGGGCCCCGGCGCUUCGGCCUCGCCUCCGCCCGCCGCCACCUUCCCUUGUUCCUGCCCCGUCCCUGCCUCUGCCCCUGCCCCUGGCCUGCGGACGCCGGGCAGCGUGGGCCUGGGCCCCUACCCGCUUCCGAGAGCGUUUUCCCGGGGCCGCCUUUAUGGCUGAGUCGGGCGCUCGGGACCCACCCGGCGCCUUGCGGACUUGAGGGAAUGAAAUGGAAACGCUUCCGGGGAAGGUCGCGGGUGUGGGCGCCUAGGUCGGCGCAGCCUUGGGAGCCGCCGUGGGUCGCGGACUGGCGUGGCCAGUGUGGAAACUUGGGACUGUUUGCGAUUUCUGGGCGUGGGACCGAGUUCCAAGUGACAAUUCUAAAACUUCACCUUACAGCCUAGGCAAGCCCCAAGUGCUCCAUUCCUUCAUCCCUAUCAGAACUGUCUGCCAGCCUUUCUUGUCGGAAAAGGAACUUAAGGCGCUCACAAAAACAAAUGCGACACUGUGUAAUCGGGAGGAGUAAUUCUCAGCAUUAGGUAGUCCUGUGUUUUGAAGACCUACUUGAUGUCAAGUAUUGUUGAUCUUCACAAAGGAAUAUCAUUCUCGUUCCUAUCAUGCAGCUCAUAUGCCACCAUUUUGGUGGCUUUUACCAUUUGCCAGGCCUUGCCAGGUCGGGCUUGUCCGCUCGGAAUAUAAUGCAGCCACACACAUAACUUUAAAUUUUGCAGUAGCCACAAAAAGUACGAAGAAACUGGUGAAAUUAGUGUUAACGUUUUAGUGCGGUAUUUUCAAAAGUUAUUUCAAUAAUCAAAUUACUAAUGAGAUAUACGUACAAUGUCUUAAAAAUGUGAUAUAUUUUGUCCUUCCAGCAAGUCUCUGUUGGGAUACUAAAUUUUCAUCAGAAAUAUCUACGUUUAGAUUUUAUUGAAAAAAAAUUUUUUUUGAGACAGGGUCUCUCUGUCACCCAUCCUGAAGUGCAGUGGCUCAGUCUCAGCUCACUGCAGCUUCAACCUCCUGGGCUGAAGCGAUUCUCCCAUCUCAGCCUCCCAAGUAGCUGGGACCACAGGUGCGCAGCACCACUGCCAGUUAAUUAAUUAAAUUUGUUAUUAUUUUUUUUUUUCGGUAGAGACGGGUUUCACUGUUGCCCGGGCUGGUAGAGUUUAUUAAAUUUACAGUUGAAAAUGUAGAUUCACAUAUUCUGUUAUUCCAAUCAUACUUAAAAGUUUUCCAAAAGCUGAAUCAAGUAUCAGUUUUUAAAUUUAGCUGGGCGCGGUGGCUCACGUGGUCAAGGAGUUCAAGACCAGCCUGGCCAACAUAGUGAAACCCCGUCUUCACCAAAAAUACAAAAAAAUUAGCCGGUCAUGGUGGUGUGCGCCUGUAGUC